rnacentral:rRNA from 1 species
AUUGAACGCUGGCGGCAGGCCUAACACAUGCAAGUCGAACGAGUGGCGGACGGGUGAGUAAUGUCUGGGAAACUGCCUGAUGGAGGGGGAUAACUACUGGAAACGGUAGCUAAUACCGCAUACCAUCAGAUGUGCCCAGAUGGGAUUAGCUAGUAGGUGGGGUAAUGGCUCACCUAGGCGACGAUCCCUAGCUGGUCUGAGAGGAUGACCAGCAACACGGGAACGGAGAAACGGUCCGGACUCCUACGGGAGGCAGCAGUGGGGAAUAUUGCACAAUGGGCGCAAGCCUGAUGAAGACAUGCCGCGUGUGUGAAGAAGGCCUUCGGGUGGUAAAGCACUUUCAGCGAGGAGGCGUUACUCACAGAAGAAGCACCGGCUAACUCCGUGCCAGCAGCCGCGGUAAUUC